rnacentral:lncRNA from 1 species
UUGACUAUGAGCAUCAACCGGAGGUAUAAUGCGAAGGCCUUCACUGGCAUUGAUAGUAUGUGGCCGCUCAAUAGCAGACCUUGAAGGGCCUAUGACAGAUAUAUCAGAGGGGGGAUUCCCAGCAACAAUCCUUUCAUCCUUGGGAGACAGUGGCUGACAAUUUAUCGACAAACGUGUUGUUCAAUAAAUAAAAAAUCACUGGAAAAUGAAAUAACUUCAUGCUUGAGGAAAAACAAGUGAAUGUAAAGAUUUAAAGCACUAACUAGAUAGAUACCUGACCACCCAAGCUAUCCCCUUCGGGUGUCUCUCCUGCAUCCAGCAACGAGAAGAGAAAUAAUAAGCACUGAACCAUGAGACAACUAUUCACGAUAUGUAGACAGCAGAAGCAAGACAUUCAGCUCAGAGAACCCCGUAAUUUAGGCAGUAGAGAAAGGCACAGUUGGGAAAGGACAGAAUUCCCUAAAACCCUUUCUCCUACUCGAAAGAGGGGAGAUAGCAAUAUGGGGAAAACAGCUUCGGAAUACAAAGAAAAAAGCAUCAAAGACUGCAAACAGACAUACGUCCUAAGGAAUGAAGUUACACCUGGAGAGCAAGCACAGCAGAUACAUAAAACACAGAACGGAAUUCACAGUCACAGUCACAGCGAAGUUCUAAAAGUGGAGGAAACGAAAUCGACACAGAACCGAAGCAACUGCGAAGCGAGGAAGCAAAGAAAUGGGUGGGGGGGAGAGAGAUAAGGUGAGUGUAGGCUGAGAAACGAGGAAGAUACCAGUUGGCACAAUUCGAUCUUGGUCCUCCUGGGAAGCGGAAUCCAUGAAUCCAAAUCUUAGAUCUGAAG